UGGGGAAUUUUUCGCAAUGGGGGAAACCCUGACGAAGCAACGCCGCGUGGAGGAUGAAGGCCUUCGGGUCGUAAACUCCUGUCGACUGGGACGAAAGUAGUCCGACCCAAUACGUCGGGCUAUCGACUGUACCGGUGGAGGAAGCCACGGCUAACUCUGUGCCAGCAGCCGCGGUAAUACAGAGGUGGCAAGCGUUGUUCGGAAUUACUGGGCGUAAAGGGCGCGUAGGCGGUCGAUUAAGUCCCGUGUGAAAUCCCUCGGCUCAACUGAGGAACUGCACGGGAAACUGGCUGACUUGAGUUCGGGAGAGGGAAGCGGAAUUCCGGGUGUAGCGGUGAAAUGCGUAGAUAUCCGGAGGAACACCGGUGGCGAAGGCGGCUUCCUGGACCGAUACUGACGCUGAGGCGCGAAAGCUAGGGGAGCAAACGGGAUUAGAUACCCUGGUAGUCCCUGAGCGGGCUGGCAAGGCGCAU
rnacentral:rRNA from 1 species